rnacentral:rRNA from 1 species
GUCCAGCAAGCCUUUUUUUCAACUUUUGACCUCGGAUCAGGUAGGGAUACCCGCUGAACUUAA